GACGAACCGUGCGAACGUUAUUCGGAAUCACUGGGCUUAAAGCGCGUGUCGGCGGUCCGGCACGUCCCAGGCUGAAAGCCCCCGGCUCAACCGGGGAACCGGCCGGGAUACGACCGGACUGGAGGGGGGUAGGGGGAGCCGGAACUUCCGGUGGAGCGGUGAAAUGCGUUGAGAUCGGAAGGAACGCCCGUGGCGAAAGCGGGCUCCUGGACCCCGCCUGACGCUCAGACGCGAAAGCCAGGGGA
rnacentral:rRNA from 1 species